AACCAUUUUGAGCGGUGCAAUCAGUGCUCACUGUAAGUCGCCUUUUAUUCCUUUUCCUACAUUUUCAUCAACAAUGUGCAUCGUUUAACGUGCCGUUGGUUUGAUCUCGAAAGUCUGUAACAAACAACAACGCCCCGCGAGUGUUUUACCGGUCUGCUUUAGCUCGUUUGCUAAUAUAUCAGUCCUUCAAGCAUGUAGGUUAGCUAGCUAACGUUAGUUUGUAAACACUGCUCGUUAUAGUUACGAAGUGGUUAGUCGUCAUGCUAACAUUACGUGACACGACGUUACCAUAAGUUCAUAUUUAAGUAGACCUCUACUCUAAUAUAAUCGCCUUUUGUAGCUAGUUAACAUAAACGACGCUAGCCAAUAGUAACUUGACGUUAUUUCUUAUUAACUUAACUGUCACCAUGAGCAAACACGAGGACUCAUGGGAUAGGCUGGACACUGAGUUUGACCGUCUUCUACUGGACAUGAAGCCGUAUGUUCUUCGACACCCCAACAAGACAGAGCGCCAGCGAUGUGCCAUAUGGAUAAAGAAGCUGUGUGACCCGGCCACAUGUGGUUCAGGUCUGAUAGGCCAUAAGAACCGCAACAUGUAUGCCCGUUUGCUCCUUCACAUGCUCAAAAGAGGGUUCCUGGAGUUGCCUUUCACCAGCAAACCAGAGCCUGGCAGCCUCAAGACACUCCCUACCUACAUGUCUAUCUAUUUUGAUGAGCCACUGGCUGGUCGGUCUGUGGAGCACAGCAAUGCGGGUCUGCCUGACUGGGUGACAGGAGAGCUGGGAGGCUACACUGAUGACAGUUUGGCUUUUGGUCUGAUUAAAGACAGAACCAGUUCCACACCUGUCGCAGCUAAUCACAGGAGAAGGCUGUAUGAGGAAAAGAUCCCGCCACCACCCAUGUCCUCCAGUUCACUCAAACAGUCACCCAGACAUGAUGCCAGGACGGUGAGUGGGGGGCUGAAGGCAGAUGUGUCUCCCGAUGACAGUGACCUGGAGGCCCGUCUCAACAGCUGGAACCUGGGGAUUGAAAACCCCCGGUAUUUGAGAGAGAAGCCCGUUCCCUUGUCUCCAAUUUUCAAGUCAAGCUUUGGGAGGAACAGCACCUUGGCCAAUGAUCAGGGCCCACAGCUUGUACAAAGCAAGGAGACUGAGAUGAAGAUCAAACUUAUGGAGGCCAAACAUCAGGAGGAGAAACUGAAGAUGCAGCAGAGACAUGAUGCAGAUGUGGAGAAAAUUCUGGACCGAAAGAAUGGUGAGAUUGAGGAGAUGAAGAGUGCGUACCGGGCCAAGCAGAAGGAAUCGGAGGAGAUGAUCCGUAAGCUGGAGAAGAAAGUUCAAAGUGUGCUGCGGGAAUCCCAGGUCAUUUGCGAGAGCAAGGAGAAGCAGGUUGCUGAGCUGAAGAAGAUGUCGGAUCAGAGCGCCGACUCCCUGAAAAACGAGUGGGAGAAGAAGCUGCAUGCUGCUGUGACAGAGAUGGAGCAGGAGAAGUUUGAACUGCAGAAGAAACACACUGAGAACAUCCAGGCACUGCUGGAGGACACCAACCUCCGUCUGGCUAAGAUGGAGGCAGAGUAUAAUACUCGGUCACAAGCAACUGAGCAAACGGUGCGUGAGCUGGAGCUGCGGGUGAAACAGCAGUCGGCGGAGGUGGAGAAGGGCAACGCGCUGCGUCACAAGGUGACACAGGAGAAGGCCCAGUUGGAGAUCCACAUUGCAUCCAUCAGCGCCGAACUGCAGGAGGCCAACAGACGAAAUGGGAUUCUGCAGAGGGAGAAGGAGCAGCAGCAUGAGCAGCAUGAGCAGACUGUGCAUAAGCUUCAAGCCAAACAUGAGACUGACAUGAGCCACUUACAUCAGGAGCAUGCUCUGUCUGCUGCUAAGGCCUCUGAGUUGAUGGAGGACUUAGAGAAAACUAUAGCCCACCUCAAACAGCAGCUCCUGGACAGUGAACAUCAAAGACACCAGAAAGUCAGAGAUCAAGGGAUAAAGUUUCAGCAGGAAAAAGAUGAACUGCAGAUCAACUGUGAGAAAAAGGUUUUAGCAAUCCACAGUGAAGCAGAGAAAGAGAGGACAGAGGCCAAGAGGAAGAUAGCCAAACUAGAAGAUGCACUCAGGGAGAUGGAGAGCCAGCUGGACAGAGCCAGGGAGAGUCAAAGGCAGCAGAUCCAGCAGGCAGAUAUGGCAUUGGAGCAGUUCAAGAAACAGGUGGAGCUCAGCUCUGAGAAGACCUAUGCUGACAUGAAAGUCCAGAUGGAGAAGGUAGAGGAGGACCUGAUCCGGUCCAAGACCCUCAGGGAGAACCAGGUCAAAGAGUUCUCUCAGCAACUUGAUUCACUCAGACAGAAAUAUGAGCAACAGAUGGCUGAGCAGCGCAUGCAGCACGAGCAGGAGAGGACGCGGCUACAGCAGCAGCACAGCGCGGAAAAGGACAGCCUGGUCCAGGAGCGCCAGCAGGAGGUGAGCAGCCUGGAGAGGCAGGCCAGGGCCGCCCUGCAACAGCACCAACAGCACACCCAGGAGUGGAGGAAGCGCGAUGCCCAGACGAUUUCAGAUUUGGAAGCAGAGUUGUCAAGUCUACAUGAGGAUCUUCAGGCUGUCCACGCACAGCAUAAACAACAGUUGGCUGAGAUGGCAUUACUCCGGGAGGAGGAAAAGCAAAGGGCGUUCCUGGACAAAGAGUCCUCCCUGGACCGGCUUCGCUCUGACAUGGAGCGCCUACGCAGCGACCUCGAGAGAAGCCACCAGCACGAGAAGGACGCUGCUCAAGAGAAGCCUCUGCCAUGAAAUCCAUACUGAGGGGAUACCAAGCUAGCUUUCCUUAUAACUAGCUUGCUGUUGAGUCGUCUUGGUGUGUGAUGUGGUGCCAUAAAGCAUUACUCCGUUCUCGCAAUGGGUUUCCUGCCUGGGAUUCCAAUGUUAUACAGUGCAAUACCAGGCACAGCGGUAUCAGAGUGGCAAUAACAUUGACGGCAUUCUCCCUAUUACAAGUCAGUGUACCAUCAAAAUGAUUUGGAAGCUGUUAUUUUAAGAUAAAUACAUACAUAAUGUUUCAAGACCGGAAAUCUGAAUAUUCUCAAUCAAGCUUUUUUUAUCUUCUGUAUGUAUCACUUAUUUCCUCUCCCACUGUCUCUCUGUAUGUCUGCCUCUGUUUAUGUCUACUCCUCCCAUAGACAUUUGUCAGAGAGAGUGUGAACCAUGUUGUCUGGAUCAAGCUAUUGUUUUUCAUCAGUGAGAACAGAUUGUGUUUGUGUAUCUGUGUGGGAAUGGGACUGUUUAUAUAUCUCUUUUAUUCAAAGCCCUUUACAAUUCACCUCUUAUUCUCACACACACACUCCCAUACUGAUGACAACAAGCUACCUUGCAAGGUGCUGGCCAGACCAUUGCAAGCAAUUGGAGUUCAGUGUCUUGCUCAAGGACACUUGGACGUGUGGACAGGAGGACCUGGGGAUCAAACCGCCACCUGCGAUUAGUGGAGGACUCGCGAUACCUGCUGAGCCACACAGGAGGAAGGCUUGCUUAACAAAGAUCAAAGGCAAUGGGCAUUUCAUCAAACACUAACCAAGUGUGACAAAACCACCUGGAGGCAAACAUCAGCCAAUGAACCAGUGAGCUUUUUGGCAUGCAGUAACCAAUCCCUGCUCGCUGUGUCACAGCACUAGUGACCCUCUGGCCAUGCCCUG